UACGAGGGGGGCUAGCGUUGUUCGGAAUCACUGGGCGUAAAGCGCACGUAGGCGGAUUGUUAAGUCGGGGGUGAAAUCCUGAGGCUCAACCUCAGAACUGCCUCCGAUACUGGCAAUCUCGAGUUCGGAAGAGGUUGGUGGAACAGCUAGUGUAGAGGUGAAAUUCGUAGAUAUUAGCUAGAACACCAGUGGCGAAGGCGGCCAACUGGUCCGACACUGACGCUGAGGUGCGAAAGCGUGGGGAGCAAACAGG
rnacentral:rRNA from 1 species